rnacentral:rRNA from 1 species
GAUGAACGCUGGCGGCGUGCCUAAUACAUGCAAGUCGAGCGAAUGGAUUGAGAGCUUGCUCUUAUGAAGUUAGCGGCGGACGGGUGAGUAACACGUGGGUAACCUGCCCAUAAGACUGGGAUAACUCCGGGAAACCGGGGCUAAUACCGGAUAACAUUUUGAACCGCAUGGUUCGAAAUUGAAAGGCGGCGUCGGCUGUCACUUAUUGAUGGACCCGCGUCGCAUUAGCUAGUUGGUGAGGUAACGGCUCACCAAGGCAACGAUGCGUAGCCGACCUGAGAGGGUGAUCGGCCACACUGGGACUGAGACACGGCCCAGACUCCUACGGGAGGCAGCAGUAGGGAAUCUUCCGCAAUGGACGAAAGUCUGACGGAGCAACGCCGCGUGAGUGAUGAAGGCUUUCGGGUCGUAAAACUCUGUUGUUAGGGAAGAACAAGUGCUAGUUGAAUAAGCUGGCACCUUGACGGUACCUAACCAGAAAGCCACGGCUAACUACGUGCCAGCCGCCGCGGUAA